UACAUGGGGUGCAAACGUUGCUCGGAAUCAUUGGGCGUAAAGCGCGCGUAGGCGGUUACUUAUGUCGGGUGUGAAAUCUCGGAGCUUAACUCCGAAACUGCAUUCGAUACUGCCGUGCUUGAGGACUGGAGAGGAGACUGGAAUUUACGGUGUAGCGGUGAAAUGCGUAGAUAUCGUAAGGAAGACCAGUGGCGAAGGCGGGUCUCUGGACAGUUCCUGACGCUGAGGCACGAAGGCCAGGGGAGCAAACGGG
rnacentral:rRNA from 1 species